rnacentral:lncRNA from 1 species
CCUCUUGCCCUGGACCCAAGAAAGACCAGAGUCCCUCUGGAAUUUUGACAUGUAUGGAUGUGUGGAGAAAAAACUUUGUUUUCCCAGGAAGUUUGGUCAUCUGGUCUGCCUUUAGGCUGCUGGUGGUUCUCUUCCCCUCCAUGUGGAAAAUACUGUCUGCAGUAGGAGCCUGGGAGUAUGGAGCUAAGGAGAGACACACAGAGACGAAAAACUACAGUUCACCUGGAAAGGCCAGAGAACUUGCAUCUGAGAGCUUCCACUUAUCUUCCCUUCUGAUUCCUUGUAUUUCACUUGGUUUCACUAAAAUGCUGCAUCAGUGAGCUCUG